rnacentral:rRNA from 1 species
AUUGAACGCUGGCGGCAUGCCUUACACAUGCAAGUCGAACGGCAGCGGGCCUUCGGGUGCCGGCGAGUGGCGAACGGGUGAGUAAUGCAUCGGAACGUGCCAUUGAGUGGGGAUAACGUAGCGAAAGUUACGCUAAUACCGCAUAUUCUGUGAGCAGGAAAGCAGGGGACCGCAAGGCCUUGCGCUCUUUGAGCGGCCGAUGUCAGAUUAGCUAGUUGGUGAGGUAAAGGCUUACCAAGGCGACGAUCUGUAGCGGGUCUGAGAGGAUGAUCCGCCACACUGGAACUGAGACACGGUCCAGACUCCUACGGGAGGCAGCAGUGGGGAAUUUUGGACAAUGGCGCAAGCCUGAUCCAGCCAUGCCGCGUGAGUGAAGAAGGCC